AUGUCGCUGUCAGACAAUUUAUUCCUGAAUCGCUUCCUGCUCAUCUCCUCGCCUUCCUCAUCUUCCUCUCCGGAUCCUCCAGUCAGAUACAUUUUGACCCAGCUACGCACAGGACUGUUUUGUUAUGUUGAGCACAGUGCAGCAGACGUGCUGCGUUGGCGCUGUCCAUGGUGCUGGAAGUGGUUGAUGACAAAAGGCCCAGCAGAGACUCCCGGAAGCUUUCCUCAUCAGUCCUGCACUGAGGGAAGGGGAGGCAGUCUCGUCCGCUUUCAGCCCCGUGGCCACUCGUCUCCCCCGGAAAGACACAAGGAAUGUGCACAACUUCUCAGCUUCCAGUGCAGGAAUGCUGAAUGUACCCUUUUAGGAACUGUACGUAUAAAUGAAUGACUUAAUUUUUGCAGUAAUUCCAAGAAUUAAAAAAAAAUCCAUUCAUAAAUGAUUAUUCGUCUUUAUCAUAAAGAGGUGUGUAUGAAGCUGUGAUCAUUGCUGUGCACUGAUCCGCUCUGGAGGCCUGCUAUUGGCUUAUUCAGUGCUUGAGAGAGGGUACUGUGGGUAGACAUACUGUAGUUGUCUAUUGUAUUGUCUUCUAACUUGAAAAUAAACACAACAAAUAUUGAUCCAAUUUCUCAUGACUCAUGGAGUUUAGUGUGAAACUAGUUAUAAUGUAGUUAUUAGUGCUGCCUUUAAAUUUAAAUUAUGACUGUAUAGGCUGUUGGGUUCUAGCUGCUAUUUAUAAAUCCAUUUCUUAGUUUGACCAUUAAGUUCUUCCUAAGUUGUUGUAGUAACUACUAACUAACUUCUAACUACUACACUUUUAGUAAAGACUUAAAAAAUGUGUUGGAUGCUAGGAAACAUCUAUAGCAUCGUCCAAGUAAGAGCAAUCAACUGUCGUUGGACAUUGGAGUGAAUGAGAGGCCGAUUGUUAAGCACUGUCCUUUAAGGUAGAAAAGCGCUAAAUAAGUGGAGUGCAUUUAACCUUUACCAUGUAACCAGGAAGUUAUUGUAGCAUCACAAGCUAGCAAAUAUCUUUCUUGUUUUAUUUACGUCUGCAUACAUGGAGAAAUGUGUUUCACAGCAGUAAAGUUUAAUGAGUGGGAAAUAGUUGAUCAUGCUAAGUUAACUGACAUUAUUUAGCCUUAUGUUAUCAGCAUAAUGGUUCAAUUCUUUUGUGAAUUUAAACUCUUCAAUAUUUAUUAUUAAACAGCAUUCAUCAAAUUUCAUGUCAGAUACGUCGACGGUAUUCCAUAUUACCUCUGAUUCAAUGAUUAUAUAUCAGCAAGCUUGCAUUAGCUUUGUCAGUCGCUUCAGUCAGCUACAGAACAUUUACAUCUAACAGUUAGUGGGAGUAAAUAUUUAACAACAACUAAUGACUAAUGUCAGAAGUAGUUCAUGAGGUGCAACCAUUGACGGUAUAUAUAGAGUGAGUCCAGUGCACCACACAAAACUGUCAAACUAGGUAAAGCUGAUCAAAUAUUGCUUACUGCAUUGCCUAUUUCUUGCUUUAAAUCUUUUCAGAAACAUAUGUUAGUGUACUAUUAAGCUGUAAUACGAGAAUGUGUGUGAACAUGCGAGCCGCCAUUGUUUCCUGCUACGGACGAGCCAAAACUGUGCAGCCAAUGAGCGUAGAGCAACUCAAACUCGAUUCAAACCCAGGACCUUCUUGCAAUGCAAUCAUCAUAUAUCAUGCAUCCAGUUUCCUCCUUCCUGUUUUUCUCUUACACCUGUUUUUUUUGUUAACUAGCAAUGACUAAUGGGUCGGUCGUGGCCGUUUGUUCUCGUCACACACACACACAUACACAUACAUGAACACGUAACUCUCCUUCACACAAGCACACACACCCACUUUCACAAACACAGACCAUGCACAAAUCCUCCUUGAGAUGGACAAUGCAUUAGAACAUGUAAACACACACACACAUUCACACACUCAGUUAAUUAAGUUAACAUGCUGACUAAGGAGCUACCGAGCUCUUUGCAGUAUGAGGGAUAGAGGAGGGGACACGUGCCCACAGAGUACACACAUACUAAGUACACACAUGGACAGGAUAAGACAAAGUCAACCUGGAGGGACCUGUGUUUGUUUUGACAUUGCACCAAUACACAGGGUGUGUGUGUGUGUGUGUGUGUGUGUGUGUGUGUGUGUGUGUGUGUGUGUGAGUGUGUGUGUAUGUGUGUGUGACAAAAUACAUUAUUUUUCAUUACCUUCCAAAACAACCCAUGUAAGCAUUUUCCAAUCUGAUGCCCUUAUAGUCGGGACGUCGUUUAUCAAUGCCUUCCAGAACUAUUCAUAUUACUGUUUAUGAUCUGCCACUUCUAGUUGGGGUUUGUUAGGUUAAGACACAGAGGUCCUCACUCAAAACAGCAACAUCCUUAAUUAAAACUAAUUUGAAUGGGUACAUUUCAUGUAAGAUCAAAAUAUAGAGAACAAAACUGUUUUUGUACAGGCUGUAAACAAGUUUAUUUCUGCUGUUACAGUUUUUUCCAGUUGCUAACACACUAAGAUGACAUGCAUAGCACGACUAUUUAAACUGACAGAGAACAAAACCUCUUCUUGAGUCUCCAAAACUCUAAACACAUUUUCUGCUUUACACACAUUUUGCAAUUCAAAAUGUUCUCUGCAUAAGACACAACAAUCUGACAUAAAGUCACAUGUUUGCGAUUUCAAAACACUGCCAUUCAAAAUGACACUACAUGAGCUAAUUGGCCAAUAUAUGUGCCACCUGGCCAAACACCUCAAUGGUUAAUUGUUACCACUUCAAUCAGGAAGUAAGCACUAUAAUAAGACCACAGGUGUUUUUUAGAUUAUUUUUUUUUUUCUGCAAUUUUCUUUUUCAGUUUACUGUUUUUUUUUUAGCAUCAUUUUUGUUCAAUCCAAUGUAAAUAUAUCUGCUGGGCAUAUGUUGCACUGACUUGUUUGGUGAAAAAUAUAAAAAUAAAUGUUUCAACAGCAUGUGUGUGUAUCUGCAAAUAUUUCUGUGCAUGUGAACUAUCUGAAGAAUUUUCUACAAUUGGAACUAUUUUAGUAUGAUGGCAAAGCAUACUAAAGAUGAGAGUGCUUUUCAUUAUGCCCAACAGUGUGUAGUUGGUUGGACAAAAAUCUGGUGAUAUGAAUGAAGUGUGUGCCAUUUGGUGCAAAGGUUUGAUUUUGAUAAUGCUAUCUGUAGUUUUGGUUGCAGUGCUUCAUUUUGCAGUAUAUAUGAGGUAUUUUGCAGUUUUGGUAUGUGGUUUUGUGAAUUGUGUUAAGUAUUUUGAUAAAACCAGCCUAGUUUGCCAAAUUGUGUUUUAGCAAAAAUUUAAUUUGGGCCUUAAGGAGAUUGACUCACUUCUGUAGUCAGCCUCGAGUGGCCAUUCGAGGAACUGCAGUUUUUGGCACUUCCAUGUUGGUUUCAUUUGCCGUACAGGGAGGUUGCCGCCUGAGUCAGAGGCCUUGUCAAACAAUCCAUCCACUAUACAAACAAUGAUGCUCAACAAUGUCACACUAUAUCAGUCUUUUCUUUUCACAGAAGAAAAAACAUUUUUACAAGGCCAACAGAGGUCCUUGUCAGGGAAACAUAGUUUGAGCCACUGCAUGCCUUUAAAACAAUGAAAAAUGUCCCAUGACUACAACCUCACUGUGUACAGUCAAUGCUGUUAGCAGACUUCU
rnacentral:lncRNA from 15 species